CGAAUACAUUAGCAUGGGAUAAUGGAAUAGGACCCUGUCCUCCUAUUUUCAGUUGGUUUUGGCAGCGCGAGGACUAGGGUAAUGAUUAAUAGGGAUAGUUGGGGGCAUUAAUAUUUAAUUGUCAGAGGUGAAAUUCUUGGAUUUAUGAAAGAUUAACUUCUGCGAAAGCAUCUGCCAAGGAUGUUUUCAUUAAUCAAGAACGAAAGUUAGGGGAUCGAAGACGAUCAGAUACCGUCGUAGUCUUAACCAUAAACGAUGCCGACCAGCGAUUAGGAGACGUUGAAUACAAAACACCACCAUCGGUGCGGUCGUCCUUGGCGUCGGUCUUUCGGGGCCGGCGCGGGGACGGCUUAGCCCGGUGGCACCGGUGAAUGACUCCCUA
rnacentral:rRNA from 1 species